AUACAGAGGGUGCGAGCGUUAAUCGGAAUUACUGGGCGUAAAGCGCGCGUAGGCGGUUAUUUAAGUCAGAUGUGAAAUCCCUGGGCUCAACCUAGGAACUGCAUCUGAAACUGGGUAACUAGAGUUUAGGAGAGGGGAGUAGAAUUUCGGGUGUAGCGGUGAAAUGCAUAGAGCUCCGAAGGAAUACCAGUGGCGAAGGCGACUCCCUGGCCUAGAACUGACGCUGAGGUGCGAAAGCGUGGGUAGCAAACGGGAUUAGAAACCCUAGUAGUCC
rnacentral:rRNA from 1 species